rnacentral:rRNA from 1 species
UGGGGAAUAUUGCACAAUGGGGGAAACCCUGAUGCAGCGACGCCGCGUGAAGGAAGAAGUAUCUCGGUAUGUAAACUUCUAUCAGCAGGGAAGAAAAUGACGGUACCUGACUAAGAAGCCCCGGCUAACUACGUGCCAGCAGCCGCGGUAAUACGUAGGGGGCAAGCGUUAUCCGGAUUUACUGGGUGUAAAGGGAGCGUAGACGGAAUGGCAAGUCUGAUGUGAAAGGCAGGGGCUCAACCCCUGGACUGCAUUGGAAACUGUCAGUCUUGAGUACCGGAGGGGUAAGCGGAAUUCCUAGUGUAGCGGUGAAAUGCGUAGAUAUUAGGAGGAACACCAGUGGCGAAGGCGGCUUACUGGACGGUAACUGACGUUGAGGCUCGAAAGCGUGGGGAGCAAACAG